rnacentral:rRNA from 1 species
GACGAACGCUGGCGGCGUGCUUAACACAUGCAAGUCGAACGGAAAGGCCCUGCUUUUGUGGGGUGCUCGAGUGGCGAACGGGUGAGUAACAAGUGAGUAACCUGCCCUUGACUUUGGGAUAACUUCAGGAAACUGGGGCUAAUACCGGAUAGGAGCUCCUGCUGCAUGGUGGGGGUUGGAAAGGUUCGGCGGUUGGGGAUGGACUCGCGGCUUAUCAGCUUGUUGGUGGGGUAGUGGCUUACCAAGGCUUUGACGGGUAGCCGGCCUGAGAGGGUGACCGGCCACAUUGGGACUGAGAUACGGCCCAGACUCCUACGGGAGGCAGCAGUGGGGAAUAUUGCACAAUGGGCGGAAGCCUGAUGCAGCAACGCCGCGUGCGGGAUGACGGCCUUCGGGUUGUAAACCGCUUUCGCCUGUGACGAAGCGUGAGUGACGGUAAUGGGUAAAGAAGCACCGGCUAACUACGU